AGCAGGGCAGAUCCAUUUUCUGCCACCGAAUACAUUAGCAUGGGAUAAUGGAAUAGGACCCUGUCCUCCUAUUUUCAGUUGGUUUUGGCAGCGCGAGGACUAGGGUAAUGAUUAAUAGGGAUAGUUGGGGGCAUUAAUAUUUAAUUGUCAGAGGUGAAAUUCUUGGAUUUAUGAAAGAUUAACUUCUGCGAAAGCAUCUGCCAAGGAUGUUUUCAUUAAUCAAGAACGAAAGUUAGGGGAUCGAAGACGAUCAGAUACCGUCGUAGUCUUAACCAUAAACGAUGCCGACCAGCGAUUAGGAGACGUUGAAUACAAAACACCACCAUCGGCGCGGUCGUCCUUGGCGUCGG
rnacentral:rRNA from 1 species